rnacentral:rRNA from 1 species
CCUACGGGUGGCUGCAGUCGAGAAUCUUUCACAAUGGGGGCAACCCUGAUAGAGCGACGCCGCGUGGAGGAUAAGGUCUUCGGAUUGUAAACUCCUGUCAUGCGAGAACAAGGUUGCAGGGCUAACACCUUUGCAAAUUGAUGGUACCGCAAGAGGAAGAGACGGCUAACUCUGUGCCAGCAGCCGCGGUAAUACAGAGGUCUCAAGCGUUGUUCGGAAUCACUGGGCGUAGGGGGGGCGAAGCAGACGUGAAAGCCCGGGGCUCAACCUCGGAAGUGCAUCCGAUACUGCCAUGCUGGAGUACUGAAGAGGUGACUAGAAUUCUAGGUGUAGCAGUGAAAUGCGUAGAUAUCUAGAGGAAUACCAACGGCGAAGGCAGGUCACUGGGCAGUUACUGACACUGAGGCACGAAGGCCAGGGGAGCAAACGGGAUUAGAUACCCUGGUAGUC